AAAGAAAGGAAGGCAGAGAAGACAGGAUGCAAAUUAACCCAGACAUGACAUAGCACAAGAAAAAGAAAGAAUGAGGUCAUUCCCUUUGUUCUCCAACUCCUGAUUUCUUUACUGUCUUUUUAGGACACAGAUAAAACCGAAGUCACAAUGGCUGCCCAUCUUUCUCUCUAAGUAAAGUUAAGAGUACACUGGAGCAGCAAGCAAACGAAGACAUCAAUCUUCCAAGAUGCUAAUGACACAAAAGAAGAAGGAUAUCUGUCCCAAGAGAACCUUCACAGUAUGGAUGCCUCAGGACUACUAACAGGUGUCUGGGCUCUGUGCUUCCUCAUCCAUGGCAUGAAUUUUGAGCAAGACAAACCAUGGCAGCUACUCUCAGGU